rnacentral:rRNA from 1 species
UGGGAAACAGGUUAAUAUUCCUGUACUUGGUGUUACUGCGAAGGGGGGACGGAGAAGGCUAUGUUGGCCGGGCGACGGUUGUCCCGGUUUAAGCGUGUAGGCUGGUUUUCCAGGCAAAUCCGGAAAAUCAAGGCUGAGGCGUGAUGACGAGGCACUACGGUGCUGAAGCAACAAAUGCCCUGCUUCCAGGAAAAGCCUCUAAGCAUCAGGUAACAUCAAAUCGUACCCCAAACCGACACAGGUGGUCAGGUAGAGAAUACCAAGGCGCUUGAGAGAACUCGGGUGAAGGAACUAGGCAAAAUGGUGCCGUAACUUCGGGAGAAGGCACGCUGAUAUGUAG